UACGUAGGGUGCAAGCGUUGUCCGGAAUUAUUGGGCGUAAAGAGCUCGUAGGCGGUCUGUCGCGUCUGCUGUGAAAUCCCGAGGCUCAACCUCGGGUCUGCAGUCGAUACGGGCAAACUAGAGUAUUGCAGGGGAGACUGGAAUUCCUGGUGUAGCGGUGAAAUGCGCAGAUAUCAGGAGGAACACCGGUGGCGAAGGCGGGUCUCUGGGCAAUAACUGACGCUGAGGAGCGAAAGCGUGGGGAGCGAACAGG
rnacentral:rRNA from 1 species